GAAAUGCAAGAAGACUUUUUCUGACUGCUCUUUAGCAAUUGGGAAGAUAAGAGUCAUUUGCUGGCAAGGACCAUCUCAUGGAGUUCUAAGAAUGCAAUCAAAGAGGCAGAAAUCAGAGCCGGGAGAGACACCAAGCUCCAAUGACCAUGGUAGAAUACCCUAAUCCUCACCUUGAGUUUUUUAGUAAAUGAACCAAUAAUUUCUCUUUUUCUGCUUAAGUCGACUUUCCUAUCACUUGUUAUUGAAAGGCCAAGCCCCACUUGAAGCAGAUCUACUCUUUUUCAAGAAAUGAACCUAUAAUUUCUCUUCUUCCGGCAAAGUUUGAGUUGUGUCUUCCAGUAUGUGCUGUUAAAAUCCUCCUAAGUGAUACACCAGCUGAGUAACUUCUCUAAUUCACUUUGUGCAGAUUCUCCCCAAAAUACUUUACUGCCUGCCCAUCACUAAGGAGGACAGCUCAUUUUUCAAGAUCCUUUCUUUUGGGGGGGGCGGGGAAUCUUAGGUCAUCCCUGGUUCUGUGGACAAUACGAUGGGAAAUACUGAAGAACAUCAGACAGGUUAUUUGGGGUAUUUUGUUUUUCACAUAUGCCAAUGUGCGUUAGGAAUUUCCCAGGUUUAUUUGGCAAGUGAACAUAUCUUUCACGUGGCAACUAUGACAUGCUAGAACUUGUGUUCUAAAGAAUUCUAAUUAAAGUGUUGUAUUUCUAGCCAUCCCAGAGAUGAUAACACAAUAAAGUAUCUUUGCAAGAACCGUGUUAGCACCUGUGCAAUGACUGGGAGGAACCCGAUGACACUGCCCUCAAGAAAAGAUCCUCAAAGCUUCAUGGAAGAUACUGCAAGGGAGCAGACUGGUAAAGAGGGAAAGCCCAGGAACUCACAAGAGGAAAGGAAAUGGAGAUGGCAGCAGCAGGGAGAGGCACAUUAGCCCCAAAAAGAUCCAUCUGGGAGGGAUGAGAACUGCCCACCGGCUCAUGCCCUUACUGGGUGAUCAGUGAAGUAAGCAGAGCCUGCGAAGACUAGACUGAGGUUUCCACCAGCAUGGCAGUCUACUCCUGGCUCAACCUUGAGGGGUGGUCCAGGGCAAUUUUGGCCACAGUUGAAGAAAUGAUGCCACUAAGGGGAAGGAGAUGACUCAGGGGUAGAAGGAUACCUGAGCCUCCGUGCCGAAGAGG
rnacentral:lncRNA from 1 species